CUUUGGAAGAGCAGCCAGUGCUCUUAACAACUGACCCAUCUCUCCAGCCCGCUCUCCCCUCCCCUGCCCCACCUCCAGUUCUCCUGUUUUUUAUAAAGUUAAAACCUUGAUCAACUUUCUAGAGGAUGAACUUUCUGAUUUGUUUAUUUUGGUCCACACAGAGAAAUAUCCAAGCCUGAGAUCACGUUGCCUUAUUUUCUUGAACUGUUUUCUUACUGGUCUCUAGACCUGUGUCCUCUUUGAGAGGAGGAGGAAGUACAUUUUGUACUGCUUUGGUUUUCAAGCGACCCCACCGAUUAAACCUUUCCAGGCUCUCUGUAUGAGAAGAUUCCAUGAGUUUUUGUUUUUCUGAAACUUGAUCAGCAAAGAAAAGCCGGUGGGCAUCGUGUGCUUUGAAAGCCUUAGAGAAUGAGCUGCACUUAUUCUGCAGGACGUGGGAUUUCUAUCAAGAGAAACAGAGUGAUGGGGAGAAGGAGAGGUGGCUGAGAGGCUAAGAGCCGGUACUGUUCAUGUACAGGACUCAGGUUUGGGCCCCAGAACCCACAAUCAAACCACUUGUAACACUAGCUCAUCAAAAUUCGAUACUCUCUUCUAGUCUGCACUGGUGCUCAUGUGAACGUGUGUGUGUGUGUGUGUGUGUGUGUGUGUGUGUGUGUGUGUGUGUACGCUCUCACGCACGUGCACACACACACACACACACACACACACACACACACACACACACAAUUACCCUCCUUUUAAAGGGAGCAAUGGUAAUAUUUAUUUGUAGUUCGCAAAAUCCACUCUGAGAGUUUGGUGGUCUGGGGGCUGGAAAUCAUGCAUUCAAACAGUAGAUAGGGGAUUCUUUAAAUAACGAGAAGAGGAAGGGUUUAAUACUUUGAAAGUAAAAUCAACUGCUAAGAUUGGCGGGUAAAGAUGACUGGCAGGAUCAUAGAUUCUGUGGGGGGGUUAACACUAUGAAGUGGCUCUCAAUCUUCUGACAACCUAAUGGAGAAAAGGAGAGGGGCAGUUUCUAUCUGCCAGCCGGUAUGCUGCAUUCUCCAUGUGCCCAGCUCAUCAGUUCUUCCCGUCGGUCUUAGGAUUCACCCUGUCUCUCUCUUACUCUAGAUUUAUCUUUUCCGUCGCUUCUUCUUUUUUUUUUCUUUGAAACACAGUCUCAUGUAAUUCCAGGCUGCCCUUGAAUUUCUGAAACUUCCACCUCCACGUCGUAAGUGCUCGUAAGUGCAUCAGAGGUGUGUGCUGCAUCAUGGCCCAGCUCUGUAUUAGAGUAAGAAUAACACAAACUCGUAGAGUUGCUUUCUUCUUAAACUCAAUCCUUUGUUUAGGAUUUAUAGUGUCCACAUCAGAGAAUCUUGCAGGGAUGUCUCAAGUUGCGCAGUUGCAGGCUACGCCGUUUAACCCUUUGUCUAAGAGAAGGAAGAGUGUGUCAAUAGGAACACGGAGAAGUCGCCUUGCCCCCAAAUUUUCAUAAUGAACGUGAGGAAAAUGUACUCACCAGCCUUGCCUGCUACCUUUAGGGCUGAUGAUGCUCUUCAUGUUUCCUGGACCACACACUCAGGCAGAGAGAAAGGAGUGCUUCUCUUCACGUACAUGACCAUCCCAUUGUAAUCUGCUAAGUCUGCAUGCUCUCCCAUUGCGGAUCCAUUCUGCUCGCCAUGAUGUUUCCUGGCUAAGUCAUGGUUUGAUUGCUGUUCUUGUCCCUCUUCAGCGCUCACUCAGUCUACGACGCCGUGGACUCUUGAGUUUUCAGUGUUUUUAGACUUCCUUGGUUUUGCUCCUGUAUCAGAAAGCUGCCCAACAGCUGCUCACUCGGAACUGAUUUUCCACUGUCUUUGAACUUUUAAUUUCAUCAUUCCCAAAUUGUACCUAGGCUUAAAAAUAUGCACCUCCAGGCUCUCAGCUCCGUAUUUCUUCUUUUUUUCUUUGUUUGACCAUGGUUUUUCUCCUCAUUUGUCUAACUUCAUGGGCCAUUUUUAAAAUUAAUCUGGUUAGGAUUAUUUCUUUUGCAUUUAGCACUCCUCCUUGGAUAGUUUCUGGUGCACAUGUCACAAAUAUGAAAAUUCAUUAAAACAAAAACCACCAGACCCAAGCAAAGAUGAAAUUGUGAAUUGGUUUAUUAAAUUAAAUGAGGACAACCAGUGGCCAGUCUGAUGCUCAGAUUGCUUGACUCUGGCCCAAGCAGGUCUAACUAACCAGGAUGCAAUUUUAAGGACGUAUUAACAUGCCACCUGUCUAUGUGGCCUCUGAGACUACAUUGUGAUAAUGGAUUCAGUCCUGGAGAAGUCACUUUAAUCGAUUCUUAAGAUCACAGCUCCCGUGGCUCAGUCACCUCCCAUUAGGCCCCGCUUCCCACCAAGGCUGCACUGAGGGCUGCGUUUAUAACACAUUGAAAACACAGGAGAGGAGCCAGCCUCCUGUGAAGAAAUUACUUUCCUACAUAUGGAGAGUAUGUGAUAGCUGUUGAUCCAGGCUUUGAACUGUUUUAUGUAAGUGAUAAGUGUUUUAAUUGUGGUAAAGUUCACACUUAUCAUUAACAAGCAAAAGUGGUCACAUAUGUCAAGGCUCAGGUUAGAUAUUAGUUCCCAGGAAAAAAAUUUCUGUUUAUCAUCAAGUAAACUAAAUAGUUACAUUCAGUACUCAUUAUAAAGUAACAUAGACCUGUGCUUUUACCCAGCUUUUCUUAACUGAGUGUGUUCCUGGCACCAAGUGCAUAUUCAUUCUAUCACGGAAGGAAGUCAGGGCAGCAGCCUGGCGGUGGGAACUGAAGCAGAGUGUGGAGACGAGUAGUACCGACUACUGGCUUGCUCAGCCUGCUUUCUCAUAGCACUCAGGACCACCAGCCCAGGGAUGGCACCAGUCACAGUGAGCUGGCCCCUCCCAUGCCAUUCAUCCAUCAAGAAAAUGAAUCCCAGGCUUGCCCAGAGACCAAACUAGUGGGGGGGCCUUUUCUCAACUGACAGUCUCUUUUCCAAAUGACUCUAGCUUGUAGCAAACUGACGCAAAACUAGCCAGCACCAGAAGCCAACCAGCUAUUAGUAUUUAUAAUACUUUAUUUUAUGUAUCCGGUAUUUUUAAGUCACUUCCCCCCCCUGAGAAUGUCUAUUUAACAAACACUGAGGGUGUUUUGUUUUGUUUGUUUGAUAAGGUUUAGGUGAUAUAAGAGUUGUUUAUGGCUUCUGUAACACAUAGACUUGAAACUUCAUGGCUUAGGACAAAAGAUGAUUAAUUUUGUGGAUGGCGGUUGGGGAGAUGAACAGCUCUUGAAUAUUCUUUUGCAGUUAACUGUCUGUGGAGUCACUUACGUUGGUUUGUUUAGAGAUGGGCUGAUAGGGCACUGCUUCCACAAAUGUUUGCCUUCUGCCAUCUUCCUAGCAGUUGGCCUCCAGGAGGCCGUCUGAGGAAGUCAGAACACAUAGAUGGUGGCGGGAUGCUUCUCCAGACCAUGCCUGAGAGAGAUGUGCCUUCUGCUCAUGCCCUCAGCCCCACUGUGUGGUCAAGUCCGAUGCACAAGGGCAAGGUGAGACCUCUCAUAGGAAACACCACAAACAAUACUUCCCUGUGCGAGGCAGCGUGGAUUGGUGGUGGUGGUGGUGGUGGGGGGGGCAUCUGACUCCCUUCACGAUGGCAGGAGAGUUACUGUGACUAUUAUAUUUGUAUAAAAAAAUUAUCCUCGGGCGAUGGUAUUGAAAAUGAGGUCAUUAAAAAAGUGGGAGUGAAAAGUAUUAAGACAGAGUUGGAUACAUUUAGAAAACCUGCUUUAUGAGCAGAGAUGUUUGGUGGAAGUAGAACCACAACUUGAUAACUAAGGAGAUGCUUUGGGUCUCCUGAACCUUUAAAGCAUUUCUUUCCCUGCUCUCCCCACCCCAGCGAGGCUUUUUUUUUUUUUUCAGUAAAGAGCUAAAAAUCCUCUUCUGUAGUUGCCCAAAAAGUGUGCUAACUGAGAUGAUCAUUUUUCCUAGAACAUAUAUUAACAACACACCAUCUCCUUAUAAUUACUAUAAUGUGCGCGUGCGUGCACACACACACACACACACACACACACAUACACACACACACAUACACACACACACACACACUCACACGCACACACACAUUCUGUGAAACUAAUAUACAUUUCUUUGCUUAAGAAUAACCAUGGGGUUGCUAGGUAGCUCACCGGGUAAAAGUGCUUGUCUUCAUGCCUGACUACUUGAAAUUGAUCCCUAGAACCCAAGUGGGGGAAGAGCCAACUCCUGCAACUGGUCCUCUUUUACACGAGAGCGCUUGUGUGUGUUCUUGGUUGCACACCCAUGUACUUACACUUCAUGUUUACACUGUAUUUUACCAGCACUUCUGAGCCCUGGGGCACUGGACCCCCCAGUGGCUCUCUGACAACAUUAGAAUAGGUAUUUUAGCCAUUUAACUUGCAUGAGGAAUAUGAAAGUGUCUUUUAUAUCACUAGUCUAAAAUUCUUUGAAUGGUCACAGUUAGGUAAGAGAGAGCUCUCACUGUACUUUUCAUUAUGCACAAUGGUGAAUGGUACCUGUGACGGUUUAUAUAUGCUUGGCCCAGGGGGUGGCACUAUUAGAAGGUGGGGCCCUAUUGGAGUACGUUUGGCCUUGUUGGAGUAGCUGUGUGAUUGGGGUGUGGGCUUUAAGACCCUCAUCCUAGCUGCCUGGAAGUCAGUCUUCUGCUAGCAGCCUUCAGAUGAAGGUGGAGAACUCUCUGCUCUCCCUGACCAUGUCUGCUUAGAUGCUACCAUGCUCCCACCUUGAAGAUAAUGGACUGAACCCAAUUAAAUGUUGUCCUUUAUAAGAUCUGCCUUGGUCAUGGUGUCUUUUCAUAGCAAUAAAACCCUAACUAAGACCCACCCAUCUGGACUCUGGAAAGGAUCUUUAGUUUAGGGUUUUCGUUUACACCAUCUAUAAAAAUGACCACUGGUACAAGUGAUGUGAGAAUCACCAAGGUGACUGAAGUAAUAGAUCAGCCUUGCUGGCUGUUUACUUUGCUGUUCCACCCAUGUCUUAUGCAUUGGCUUUUAAAGAUUUAUAGAGUACAGUGAAGACCACGAGCAGAUAUUAAGAUGCAUAUGUAGUUCCUAUCUACUCCUACAGGAGCCCACAGCUUUACUAUGCAUUUCUAGAUGAAUGUAGAAAAAUUAGUAUUAUUCAAAGAUGCCUUUAGUUGUUGGCAGGUGGUGUGUGUGUGUGUGUGUGUGUGUGUGUGUGUGUGUGUGUCUGUGUCUGUGAAGAAAAGAAAGUAAUGGACAAAAAGAGAGGGAGAGAACUUGGGUAGCUUCAUAAACUAGGAUAGUCAGGAAAGCCUCCCCAAGCAGGAGAUAUUUGAUUAGAGGCUGGGGAAACAGGAUGGAGUCACAUUUGUGAUGUCCUAGCAAGUGGAUUCCUGUUGGAGGACUGGCAAGAUACGAGUUCCCUCCCGUGUGUGGGUGAGCAGCAGGAGGGCCAGCAAUUCUGGAGUCUGGGGAGCAAGAUGGCCAGGGAUGAAGCCUAAGGAAUCCUGUUGAGUAUAGAAACACAGAGGUGACUGGGUUGUACUCAACCCUUAACUGGAAGAGCUCUGCGUUAAGCUGGGUGUAUAGGUGAAUGCCUGUAAUACAGCAGAGGGAGGCAGGAGGACUGAAAAUUUGAGGCUACUGAUUAUCUAGUGAGAGCAUUAAGAAGGGGAAAGAUGGAGUGGAGGGAGAAGGGAAGAGGAGGAGGAGGAGGGGCAGGAGGAGGAGGAGGCUUAGAAGCAUGCACAGAUAAAUGUGCCGUAAGUUGUAACUAAUUGUGAUAAGAGCUCUUUGGAGCAUUUAAAAGUUUAUGCGAUGGAGAAGGCUGUACAGGAUUGGGGUGUGGGCUCAGGAAGAGCAAGGAAAGGCCAUUCUUCCUAGAGAACAGCACGUGACAAGGAUGCAUUCUGAGAAGCUUAAGUGUAUGUAGUGUAGAGCAAAAUGUUUUAUGCAACAACAACAGGAAAAAAAAGCCACACUAAGACACUGGACAAGCAUAGGAAGUCAGAAGUGGAUUGGAACCAAAGUAUAAAGUUCAAAAUGAAGGAAACUCUUUACAACGCACCGUUUCUCUUUUCAAUUGAGUUGUUUUAUUCCCCAGAAAUUGAAGAUUCUCAUCCAGGAUAUUAAAUCAUUGUCUCAUUCUAACUGUUUGUGAAGGGGAAGUGACUGAUGACCAAGCGAAUGGCUCAUCUAUUUUCUCUGAGCUUAUAAACAGAAUUUACAGGGCUGUUCAAUUUUUAGUUUUUGAGAUAACACCACAUUUUUACCUUUUUCCAAUGUCCUUUAAUAAUUAUUUACUUUUUUGAAAAUGAUUAGAAAACAGUUAGGCUUUCCUGCAUUCCUGGGUUCCAGAGUUUUAGAAUAAUAAGCUUUGCACUCCCAUCACCUUCUGAGAAACUUCAUGUAUUUUAUAUGGCUGUUAUUACUGCUUAAAAUUUACUCACUUUGUUGUCUAGCUUUAUGGCUGUACCUUUUAAAAAUGCAUUAUAAAUAAAUCAUACAUUUUAAUUUAUACAUUUACUAUAUUUAUUUAUUGUGUGUAGGGGGCAGAGGUGAAGUAUCAUUCGUACUGAGGUUCAAAGAUAACUUGAAGGAGUUAUUUCCCCCUUAUGGGUCCACGGAUAGAAUUUAGGUAGUCAGGUUGGGUUGUAAGUGCCCGUCUGUACCUGCACCAUUUUUAUAGCCCUAAUACCCGGUUGUAAGCAUCUCCCUAAUGCUUUGCCUUGCCCUCAGAAGACAGAUUUCACACUGAUUCCAUUCAUUCUCCUUUUGAAGGCGCCAUGUUUCUAAAUGUCCCAGAAGAGUGAGGGACACCUUCUGUUAGACACCCAAAGUGAACUCAGAAGUGCUGCUCACUAAUGACUGUGCAGCGAUGCUCCCUUGAUUAGAAUGGGGAGCCAGUGCCAUGGGAACUGCAGGCUCUGGGGCUCUGAGGGAGCCUGAGAGGCACCACUGAACCCCUGGGAAUUGUCACAGGUGCCAUUAUGGCUGUGCUGAAACAUUUCCUUAGAGGCUGGCUGCCCUCACAAUUCAUUUAGCAGUAGCAAUGGGCAGCAGGGCUGGUUGCACAAACCUUCUAGAAAAUACACGUUCAUGGGGAUGAAACAUUGCUUUCACUCAGAUUCUUCAAGCAUAAUUUUAUCCACGUAUUUUUAUUUUAAAAAAGGUGAGUGCAGGUGUUUUGUCUGUACACCAUGAGUGUGUCUGAUGCCUUCAGAGUCCAGAAGAGGUCACCAGACCCUCCAGAACUGGAGUUACAGAUGGCUGUGAGCCAAGUGGGUGCUUGGAAUGGAACUGGGUCCUCUGAAGAAGCAGCCAGUGCUUUUAACUGCUGAGCCAUCUGCCCAGUCCCUUCAAGCAUAAUUUAAAAGAGGAAGUAGCACCUUAGAUAAAGCAGAGUUUUGUGCAGGGUUCUAUUAAUGCCUCCAAAGGGAAUUGUAUAACCUGGGUUGUAUCUCAUUAUUGGUAGUCUCCUUUUAAUGGGCUUCACAUAACAAAACUUACAGAUUUUGAUAUAGUAAUAGUGUCAUAGAAUAUUAUUUAGAAAAGGACACUGUGAAUUUUCACAACUGGUGAAGAGAAAGUUCAGCGACGGUAGAGGAAGCAGCCACUGAGCUGUGGUGGUAGCCCCGGCAUUAGUUCUGCAAGUGCCAUGUUUGGCACACAGAGGCACGAGCACCACACCUUAAGGAUGGGUAAGGAAGGUCCAGGGAAGCUGGGUGAGCCACCGAGCCUGCCCUGGUGACUUCCCUCUGUGACUAGGCUGAACUCUGCUUAAACACAGACUUUGCUCUUUCUGAGCCAGGAGCUCUUCUCUAAUUCCCAAAGCACAACAAACACCUCAGUGGCUCCGAACAACAGCAGCUCAUUGUCUUUCCUCCUGUGAGCUCAGCUGGCUUAGCUUUAGGCUGGGCUCAGGGUAGCAUUCUCAGAUUCUAGGAAUCUCACUAAUCGGCUCCUGAACAGAAGUCCCAGGAAGCCCACCCCAAACUCACUGAUGGGAAAUGGAUCUUCCUUGAUGGGAGAAACUGUAAAUGUUUCAUGGUCUUACGAGAUCUGUCAUGGCCCCAUAAUGACUUUAAUUUUUACUAUGUUGUGCCACCUCGUAUUAUUCCAAAACUUUAAGAUGUUAUAAGAUAAAACUUUAGACUCUUAGAGAAGCAAGAUGGCUCACCAAGUAAAGGUACUUCCGGCCACACCUGCAUUUGAACCCCCACGACGGAAAGAGAAUCAGCUCUCACAAGCUGACCCCUGACCUCCACAAAUGUGUUCAAUGGAUGGAUGGGUGGGUGGAUGGAUAAAUAAAUAAGUGUAAUAAAAAUCUUGUAUGAAACCAUCUUUAGACUCUUGAUCCCCGAAGUGUGGCUCCUCAUUUUAACCGGCUUUACCAUGAUGAAGAAGAUAAUGCUUUGAAAAGUAGUAAUUAAAGCAUAAAGAUGCUUUGAAAAAUCUAUCAACGGAGCCUUCUGUAACCUACAAUACUAGGUACGAGGAUUCUUAGUUGAAAAGAGGACCCGAUUGACUCUGAAAAGUAGAUGAGAAAGUGAUUCAGACAUUAUGUUCAGUCCCCUGGGCACAUUGUUUUGUCUUCGAGAUGAAGAAAAGCAUUAAUGAUUUUAUAAAAAGCACUGCGAUGUGAUCAUUCUUUAUUUAGUGUUGUGCUGUUUAUGUGUGUAGAAUCAAGCAAUGCGUAGCAGUUGUAUGAAGAGUCUCCAUCCCUCGGGUAGUUAAUAGUAUCAGAACCAGGUGCACUCCUACGAGAAGUCUGUGGAGCCAUCUAGGAGGAAGAGGAUGGCUUUGACUAAUGGAGACACACUGCUACCUCAGAAAGCCUUUCCCCUACGAGAUUCCUCAGUUAAUAACUUUUCUUCCUACAGACUGCUCAAGCCUUGAAUGUAGUUUUUAUAAAGAUCUAAAAUCUCUGAUAAGCAACCAUUGUAUAGCAUAUAGGACUACUCUUAACUUUCCUUCUUUCCAAAAAUCCAAUUCCCUUUGGCAUCUCAAAAUACUAUUGCAGUAUGCUACGAUGAAACUCUUAAAGGACUGUAAUGGACUGGGUAUUCUCCUAAGAUGUCUCCUUUUAAAGGGGUAGGCAAGAUUUUAGGGCUUUAUAUGUUGUUGUUGGGUUUGGUUUUUUGUCCUCCUGCUUUGCCUGGAACUGCCUUGCCAAACCUAGGGCCUGGCACUUGAUAGAGCAGCGCUCUACCACUGAGCUAACUCCCUUACCCCAAUGAGCUUCUUAACGCUUACCCUGAGAAACCUGCAACUGACAUAAAGGCAAAAAGCUGGCUUUUCACAGUUUGUUCUUUUUGCUGCGUCGUUUUGAUGCAUCCAUAUCUGCUCAGACUGCAUCCCUUACCGUGAAUCCUGGGACUGAAAAUCCUGGGAUGUUCAGAUCAAACCACAAACACAUUCCAGCUUUCUCUCAGUAGAUUUUUAAAUUAGAGUUUGUUACCAGUUCACUAUCAGAAGACUUUCUACAAAAACUUUGAAAUUCUAAUUUCGCUACAAAAAUACUGCAACAUCAAGCCAGCCUUAUGGCUUGAACAUGACGAUGUGAAACUGAUUCAGAUGGACUGUUUACAACCGGUCACCAUCACCCACAUCCCAUACUUAUGCAACCUGCUUGGCUGUGAUCGGUGUUUGAGUUUGAGCCAAUGAUACAAUAAUGGUUAGCAUGAUCCAAGCAUCCCUCUGAUCCUUAAUAAUCAAAGGUAAUUUAGAAAGUGCUAUUAGGGAGGUUGAAUUCGCAUCAGUGAUAAGAGUGGAGAGUCUUAGUAGAUGAAUGGAAAUAAAAAGAAUCGCAUUUCAGAAUCCUCUCUGCUUCCUCAUUAAGCUCUGAAUAACUGUAGAUUGCUUGUCUCUGAAUCUCAUCAUAAAAGCCUAUCUUGGCAGUGGACACUUUAGCACAGAUUGUGCCUGCUGCUUUAACAAAUCCUGCCUAUCAGUCAUUUUCACCAAAACAUUAAAAUCCAGGCCAACCCAACCUGAGAUUUUUGACCACCCUCACCACCCUUGUAAAGCUAUUUUUAAAAAAGGGAGGCGGUGUUAAUUGUAAGUCCAAAUUACCUUAAACUCUGAAUUUAAAAAUUUAGACAAAUUAAACCAAGCAUGGUCAAAUCUUUUGAUCAAAUGUUGGGUUUCCUAGGAGUUUGAUGUAUAAUCUGCUUUUUUAAAAAAUACGCUUUUAUGUGUGUGUGUGAAUGUUUUGAUUGCCUGAAUGUUGUGUGCGCUGUGUGAAUGCCUGGAGCCUGCAGAGGCUAGAAGAGGGUGUUGGAUGCCCUGGAACUGGACUUGCAGGUUGUUGUGAGCCACCAUGUGACUUCUGGGAAGCGAACCUCAGACCUCUGCUAGAACAAGUGUUCUUAACCACACUGAGUCAGACUUCCAGGAUCUUGAUUUGUAUUCUAUGUUCUACAAGUUUAUCAUUAUUAAACUUACUCCAAAAUCUAGUUAUUGUCAUGUUCUAGUUAUUGUCAUAUGAAUUGAUUUUUUAAAAAUCUUUUAGUUUUUUUUUUUUUUAUUUUCUAAAAUUUCAAGACAUGGUCUCCCUAUGCAGGCCAGGUUGGCCUUAGAUUCCUGGUCCCAAUCCCUCAGGCUCCCAAUUGUGACAGGCAUGCCUGGCAAAAAUCUGUGAUUUUUUUUUUAAUGAAAUGAAAAUUUUAAGACUUCUGUUUUUGAUAUCAGAGGAAUGGAAUGGAUCAAUACUGUAGAAAAAUUACUCAAAUUGCUUUUUAAUCACAGUAACUGUCAGUGGUCAACUGUGUUGUGCCAUCUCCAUCUAGAGAUAGAGGUCCCUAGAUUAGACCACUGGAACACAGCGAGAGAGAGAGAGAGAGAGAGAGAGAGAGAGAGAGAGAGAGAGAGAGAGAGAGAGAGACCCUUUGGGUGACUUGCAAAGAACAGGCGUUUGUUUACCAUGGCCAUUUUUCCAAGUCUCUCUCCUUACCUCUCAAACAUGUCACAGCUGCCACCAAAUUUCAAAAUGGUCUCUCUCUCUCUCUCUCUCUCUCUUAUUUUAAAGCCAUUUUAAGCAAACUUUGUGACAGUCUAAAUGAGACUUAAGGAUUUAUUAUCAUAGAUAUUAUAAUGACAGGUAACAAAAUUAGCCAGAGUGAAGCUAGAUGGAAACUGAAGUUUCCUUAUAAAAUAAAGACAUGUGUUGCUGUUGUCAUGGCUUCUCUUAUCCCAGGCUGUCUGAAUGGUGUCAGUGUACUCGAGUUAUUUUUAAGGUGUGGGCAUGUGCAAAGAUGAAAACCAGGGUGAGAAUAUUUCAGUUUAUUUAGAAUGACAUCUGGCACUAAAUAUGAGUCUCACUAUGCAAAACAGCAAACACAUUAUAACAUUUCAUCUAUGUGGGGCUGUGAGGUGUGUGUGUGUGUGUGUGUGUGUGUGUGUGUGUGGUGUGCACAUGAACAGUGAUGUUAAGAAGUAUCGUGGCUACUCUGGAGGUAACAAUGACCUGAGUCUUCACUAAUUCAACUGUCCUCAAACCAGUCUGAUAGUCUGGGUUGUGUGUGUGUGUGUGUGUGUGUGUGUGUGUGUGUGAGAGAGAGAGAGAGAGAGAGAGAGAGAGAGAGAGAGAUGUAUCAUGUUUCAGAUCCCAGAGUUACAGAGACAGAAUUUGUGUUUAUACCUGUGGCUGAUUCUAUAUCUGUUGAAUCUGGACAAGUACCAGGCAAGAGAGACUGGAUUACGCCUCAAAUUAACUGUAUAACCUCUAAGAUUGACUACAUUAUGUAUUUUACUUCCCUUCAUCCAUUGCCAGUAACUAAAGUUUAAUUAUGGGCAAAUUAACUUGAUAUCAUCAUUUAGUUGCAUAUAAAAGAGAGAUAAUAGUGUCUACUUCAUAUUAUUGCAAGAAAGUAAAAAACAAUGUAUAUUAAGUACCGAAGACAUGGAUAAUAACUGUGUUCAGUGGUUACUUUAAUUAUGGUUUCUCUGUGUAUGGCGUUAUCCUAUAGAUUGAAUGACAAAUGGGUUAAGACAUCGCUCUUGGGUUGGAUAGAUGGCUCAGAGAUUAAGAGCCCUGUCUGCUCUUCCAGAGGUCCUGAGUUCAAUUCCAAGCAACCACAUCAUGGCUCAUAACCUUCUAUAAUGAGAUCUGGUGCCCUCUAGUGACCUACAGUCAUACAUGCAGGCAGAACAUUGUAUACAUAAUAAAUAAAUAUUAAAAGAAAGAAUUUGCUCUCAAAUAUACAGAUACAUACACUUGGUUUUUAAAACUCCAGAAGACAAGAUUUCUAAGAUGACUUAAAGAGUCCAACCGAACAGCUACUGGUGCUGGAUUCAACCAGCCAUAUUCCUUCACAGUUCUUCUGCCCCUGUGUUGCUCAUUUAACGACUUGAGAUUUUUGUGGCUGCUAUAUGACACAUACGAUGCUUGGGCUUCCUUUAGUACCCUUAUAGAUUGCUAGAUAAGUAACGGUCAGGUACUGUGCACACUAUCCGAAUGUGUGAGAGCAGGGAGGCAGGGUCAGGUCGCCUGAGGUUUCAGAUCCCUAGACUGGAGACAUUUAGAAGAUCAGGAAAAUAGUUCAGAUUACUAUCUUUCUGUUUUAGCCACAGAAACAUACCCAAAUAGCCCUAAACAGUUCUAACCCAGAACCCGUUUUCCUUCAGGAAGCAAUUGCUUAUUUGAAAACCUGGUCAGUGUGUAACAAAGCUGGCUGUGUAUUAGAGCUCCAGACAAGGGUUGGAUGUGGUGGGGCUCACCUGUAAUCACAGCAUGCAGGAGGCCGAGGCAGAAGCAUUUUGAGUACAGGGCCUCCAUGGGCAACUUGUGGACUUCAGUAGCAUCCUGGCAUAGAUAUUGAGACCCUAUCUCGAGAAAUAAUAGUUUAAAAAAUGUUCAAGAAGACUCCGCUAUUGUUUUUUUCUGCUAAGCCACCUUUCUGUUUGGUACAGAGGCGCCCUUGGUGACUGAUGGAGGACAAAGGACAGCUCCUUACAGGGUAGAGAGAGGAAUUUCACUCUCUCAACUCUUCAUUUAAAACUUCUCUGAAGAAACUGGGGAUAGACCUCCCAGGGUCAGGCUCUUCCAGCAAGCAGGAAGCCCUGGUUUCCUUCCCUAGCACUACAUGAAAGGGGUGACAGUAGGUGCCUGUCAUCCCAGCACCAGGGAGGUAGGGGCAGGAGGAUUAGAACUUCAGGAGGAUUAGAACUUCAGGGUCAUCCUCAGUCACAUAGUAGCUUUGGGGCUAACCUGGGAUACAUUAUGACCUGGUCUCAAAAAUAAAAUAAACCAAAAUAAAAAAAAAUCACUGAAAUUUGAUUCUUUUCUUUUUUGGUAGUAGAGCUCAAAGCACUGACUCUAUGAUAUCUAUGAUAACCAAGAACUUGAUAAUUCUUUGUCUGGAAAUCUGCCCCAAUUUCCAGGUACCUUGAACUUGAUUGCAUUAAGUUGCUUUUAAAAAUAGGAAAUCUCCUUGGGCCUUUCUCCCCUCGCUGUGUUUUGUUUCUCAUUAUUGGUGAUGAUAAAUUUCCUUAGUGAGCACGCAGCCAACACACUGAAUAAAUAUUUAAAUUGAGUUGCAUAUUAAAGUGGAUGUAAAUUAAGUUAGGCAAAUUUUCCCUUCCGUAUAUAUGUCUGAAAAUCACAUCCUGCAGAGGAGGCUAGUCAUUUUUUAAAAUGAAGGGAGAAAGAGAAGAAGGGAGCAGUUUCUUAAAAACUGGGGAGCACUGUUUUGCUUAAGCAUUGGUUUCAUAAAUAGAUAACAGCCUUUCUUAUCAACACAUCUCUGAAACAAAGACUCUUAAGUCAUUAGGAAAGAGACGGUCUCAAGAGAACCAAGCCCACAUAAUAAGAAUUAUAAAUGUGGUCACAGAUCUAAAGGGAGAGCUUUGGUUACAGAUUCAAAAUAAUUAUUUCCAGCGUUAAGAGGACCAGAAGGAAUUUGCUGCAGUUAGGAGGAGCCUAUAGCUACUGUAAAGUUAAAGCUGCUUACUCUUGUGUUUACAUGUUUUAUAAGAUGUAGCUGACAUAGAUAUGCAGAGGACACUAUAUUAAAUAUAGUGUACAAUUUGAUAAGCUUUGACAUAUGCACAGACCAUAAAUCCAUCACUAUAUUCAAGAUAAGAACCAUAUUUAGUUAUCUUGGGAUGGAUAGAUGUGUUUAAUCAGAAGGGAGUGUCAGAAUUAAUGCCAUCUUCUCCCAGCCAAACUCUGUCCUUGUGCUGAACUUUAAGAUGUAGGGUAGAUUUGUAUAUGUUUAUUUAUGCUUAUUCAAGAAAUAUUGUUUUGUUGCUGUAGUUCGGAGUGGGGGAGUUGUUUUGUUUUAAAAUGUAGGGUGUGGCUGGGAUGCAUACUGCAGUGUGACUGCCCUCCAGUGGUGACUUUGAAGAAUAGCAACUCUGCUGCUUCCCAAAGCUACAGUAGAAAACCAAAAGCACAAGCCACACAUUUAAUUAGUGGGGGGUUGAUGGAAUGGACCGUUAGCUCUCCCAUUAAGGGACGUGGGAUCUGCCUCGCUUGUCUUGGGUUGUCCUAGAUGGGAGGAGCAUUCUGAGACUGAUGGUGCUUUAAUGCACACAUUGGCCAGGAUUUUCCUCACAGAUAACACACAGGUCUAUAUUGCUUUUCUUUCUUUCUUUCUUUCUUUCUUUCUUUCUUUCUUUCUUUCUUUCUUUCUUUCUUUCUUUCUUUCUUUCUUUCUUUCUUUCUUUCUUUCUUUCUAAAUAAUUUAAUGGCAAAGAACUUACAAAGAAAAACUGCGCAGUGCAAUUAGCCAGACUCAACAUUUAUGCAUUUCAGUGAGUUCAAUACAUUUAGAACAGCCGUUCUGAAGCUGUGUUGCUUCACACUGGACUUCAGCUUCAGCAGCAAUACUUUUAUGCACUUAUUCAAUUUUCUAUGAAAAGAGGUCGAUUUCUCUCUGUUGUUUCUGCAGGAUUGAUAUGUCAAAAAUUCAUUUUGCUAUCCUUUCUGAUGUGUGCCUUUCUCUUAUAGGUUUGCCUAAAUAUUCCAGGAACUCUUACAUUAUACAAAUGGAAAUUGUACUGGAGAAUUGUACAUGAAAUUGUACAUAAAAUGGAAUUUUCAGUUUUCUUGGAUUCUAAUGCAAAGCUAUUCUAAUGUGAGGCUGAGUGGUGAGAGAAUUACCUGUGGUCAGCAUCAGACAGAAAGGCAGGAAGUGCUCCGAUCUUGAGCUCUGAAUGUUCGAGCAUAUCUGUUCACACUGCUAGUCCAGUGUUAUCCUCAGUAAAGGAAAGAGAGACCUCUUCAGUGUGAUGAGAACCACGCAAAAAGCCCAGGUUAGAAUAAGUGAAACAAACAUGUGCUCUCAGUUUAUUAUAUUUACCAAGAUGCUUCAAAUACUUGUAUUGGUCAGGACCAAUUUUGAGAUAGAUAUGACAAAUUUUAGCACUAAAUUUUCUUAAACCUUCUAGCCCACCUCUUUCCUAGCCUGCUCCUCCCCCUGCCCGUAAUCUUUACUCUCUGCCUCAGUUUCUGGUGUAGAUAUGUAUGCCAUGCUUCUCACUGUCUAUGCAUGGUUCUAGUUAUAUUCUCUUACAGGUUUUGUAUGUGCCGCUUUAUAAUAUGGUGUUUCAGGCAGUGAAAGAUGGAAUCAGUACGUGAGAGUAGUUAACUCAUAAAGAAAAGAGGUUCUUUUAGCUCACUGUUCUGGAAGGCUAGGAGCACGGUGCAGGUCUGCUGGCUCCUGGCGAAAUCUGCAUGCUCCUACAUGAAUAGCAGAGAAGUUUCUACAUGUUUCCACAUGCAGAGGAGAUCAUAUAUGAGUAACGAAGCCAGAGAGCCAGUGAGAAAGUCUAACUCCCUUUGACUCACUAAUACAGUCCCUUGACAUAAUAAGUUUGUUACUGGGAGAAGGGUGUUAACCCCCUUUAUGUCCCCAUUAUCUCCUGAAGUUCCAAGACUCCCUAACACCGUUAGGUUGGUGAGCAAUACUCCAUAUACAUUCUUGUAGACUCCAGACUACUCAAAACAUGCAGAAGUCCAAAUUUUCUCAGACCUAACUUGCCUUAGGUAUACACAAAAUGGAUUUAACACAGGCUUUCUCCCUCUGGAGAAGAGCUUGUUUUGGGAAUGGCUCCAUUCUCCACCCUGGUAUUUUAGGGAGCCCUUCAGUUUCCCAUGUGUUCAUGUGUAAGACUGGAUAGGUAUCUCACCAGCUCUGUGCUGUGUCUGAGGAAUCUCUCCUUUUCUUCCACUGCCCACUGCCCCAUUACCAGGAGCAACUGAGUUCUCAGAACCUAUGGCAGACUCAUGUCAUCUGACUGGAAUUCACCUUCCCCAUAGUACUGUGCCGACAGGUUGAGAAAACUGUCUUAACAGUCUACCCGUGCACCUUAAGGGGCUCAUCUCAAUUAUAAAGUUACCAACUAUGAAGAGCACUUGGCAUAGGACAGGAGUUAAAUAAAUGCCUGUUGUAGCAGCCAGUCUUUCCUGUUUUAUGAAGCAAACUGUGAUGGCAUGACCUCAUGUGAAUGUGGUCUUCACAGGGAUUCAGAGGGACUGAAGACAUGGGUCAGUAGUAACAGAGCACUGGCAAGCAUGUGAGAGAUCCUAUGUUCAGAUUUUUAAAAAGCAGUAAGCAAAAUAAAAGGAUAGCAAUGGCCUCCUCAAUCCCGAAAGGGCUUCUGGUAUCCUCACUAAUUCUGUUGAAUUGAUUAGAUUGAUCAUCAAUUGGUUACUGGAAUUAAUGAACACCAAAACAACAAUAGUUGUUCUCAUGUAACAGUAGUUGUUAUAUGAAGUAAAUGCAGACAGAGAAAAUCUGGGGUUGUCAAGCAUCCGUGGGACAGGUACUCACUGGUCCUUCUAGCAUCCAUGGGGACAGGUACCCAACAGUUCUAUCUUGUUUCUCUGUGUCAUCACCAUGAGAUUUCCACAUCACUGCUUGCUCUGAAAGUCAAAGCUCUAAACAUCAUGUCAGCCAGAGUGGGGUAGAAAAGUAGAGAAUGGUAUUCAUGUGUUGUCUUUAAAGACAACUCCCAAAUUUACAGACCUUUAAAAAUUCGUUUUCUGGUCAUCUCAUAAUUUAUGUGAUGUUAAUCUUCUGAUGAGGUUGGGCACGGCAAUCUUCAGUGAUCCAUGUGCAAUUAUUGUUGAAUUUUGAUUUUCCAAAGUAGGGAAAGCACUUCUAAGGGGAUAAGCCAACUUUGCUAUAGAACUUGUGGAAAUGGGUUUCUGGAUAGCCUGGGCAUCAAUCCGCUCAGAUUCAGUGUGGGACUCUACUAUCUACAUGUUUAAUUUUGUUUCUUGAUAUAAUAGCUUGUGCUGUGGAUCAAAUCAACGUUGUUUACAAAGUCUUGAUGAAUGAUUACUUGGCCUUCUCUAGGCAAGCAUUAGUAUUCCUUGUUAUUCCACACACAGCUGAGAGUCCCAAUUAUCUAUUUUUUGCCCACCUCAUUGGACUUUUCUCAAAGUAAGCCUUUCAGUUUCUCUAUUGGGAUGGUAUAGUCUAUACUGUGACUCUUGUCUUAAUUUUGCCAGGUCAUGUGAUUUGACUACAAGUAUUCUCCUAAAUUCUGCCAACAGAAGAUAGGAGCUUUUGUUUAUUACUAACAGAGCUCUCUCUGCUGAAGCUAAGUCAACAGAACUCAUGGAGCCUCAUCAGGACAGUGCGGCCCAUUUGAAUUUGGAUGAAAAAGAAGAACUUAGCUACAAAGAUAAAGUCAGAACAUGGGAGUUUUCAGUAUCAGAGCUAAGUGAGAGUGUUUCAUGAAAGGCAGAAUGUCCAACUGUGAAGUGGUUUUGAAGUCAUGUACUACAAGGACCGACAAAUCUCUCCCGUACCUGGUAGCUAGUCAUGUUGACAAGGCAUUUCCAGUUGUCUUGGUCCACAUAACUGGGCUUGCUGGUUUUCUAGGACACCCCUUCCUAUUCCUCUUUGUUGGCGCUGCCCUUGGGUUUCAUGGCCUCCUUGUUUCAUCCUUCCCUCUAAGGUUUUGUUUUGUUAUCACUCUGACUGUGUAGUUAUCUCUUCUCUUGAGCUGUGAUGGAAGCAUUACAUAGGGAACAGAAUAAACUGGGGAGUAGAAAA